UGGCUAUAUAUUCCCUUGGUGGGGAUGCCUGACUGUUAAUCAGGAUGCGCUAGGUUCGAAACCUAGAUAGCCAGCCA
rnacentral:tRNA from 1 species